GCCACUUCUCAUCUCCUCUGUCAAACCCUAGGUUGAGCCUCUCCUCUGCUCUGCGCAUGGUCGUCGCCCGCGGCUCUGCGCCUGGUCGCCGCCCGUUGCUCUGCGCCAAGCCCCACCGCCAACAGUUGCUCUGCGCCAAGCUCGGUCGUCGCCCGCUCCUCUACACCAAGCUCAGCCGCCGCCCGCUUCUCUGCGCAAAGCCCGGCCACCCCCCGCUCCUCUGCGCAAGCCCGACUGUCGCCUGAUGUUCUGCGCGAGCCCGGUUGCCGCCCGCUGCUCUGUGCCAAGCCCAGCCACCGCCCGCUCCUCUACGCCAAGCUCAGCCGUCGCCCGCUCCACUACGCCAAGCCCAGCCGCCGCCCGCUUCUCUGCACCAAGCCGGCAAGCCCCCAGUCCAAUCAGGCACCCCAGGCUCCAUUGAUCCUCUGCGAUUCACUGAUUCAAUGCAUACUUGAUACUCAUGUGGAGUCUGGUAGUUUGCAAUCAAGGUGUUUUUUAACUUCCCUACAACGGAGUUAGAAGGAUCCUGCAGCGUGGCGGACUCUGAUGAUAUAGCAAUCCUCGGUGCUACUGGAUCCGUGAAUGUUGGAAGUGAUGAAGCUGUUGGACCCUCUGGUAGAAAUAAAAUGAAUCCCAGAUUAGACAUAUGGAACCACUUCACACGACUUAUAGAUGACAAGGACAAAGCUAAGUGCAACUAUUGCCCUCAGGUGCUUAAUUGCCAUUCACAAAGGAACGGUACGUCUUCACUCAAUGCUCGUAGAAGAAUUUGUAAGAAACAUCCUGAUAGGGUCAAGAAUCAAACUCAACUAAGCUACCAGCGUAGUGCAGAUGGCAGUAGUUGUUUAGUUCCUUGGCAAUACAAUGUUGAAAAGGUUGCUCUAGCAUUUACUCGCAUGAUAAUCAUAGACGAGCAGCCAUUUAUUUUCCCAGAAAAAGAAGGUUUUAGGGCCUUUAUGAAGGAAGCUUGUCCUUGGUUCAAACCUCCAUAUAGGACCACAAUGGGUAGGCAUAUUCUACGCCUAUAUGAAGAAGAGAAAGCAAAGCUAAUGCAAUAUUUUAAGACCUCUCGUCAAACUGUUAGCCUCACAACUGACACAUGGACUGCUUCAACCCAUCAAUGUUACAUGGUUCUCACUGCACACUUAAUUGAUAGCAAUUGGCAACUUAACAAAAAGAUCAUCAACUUCUGUUUAGUGGAUAGCCUCAAGGGGGAAGACUUGGGAAAAGCAAUAGAUAAAUGCUUGUUAGAUGGGGGUAUUGAGAAUGUGUGCACAAUUACCUUGGAUAAUGCUACUUCAAAUGAUAAAGCACUAGACUAAUUGACUAGUUCUUUGAAAAAUAGGGGUGCUACUUUAGCAAAAGGUGAGCACCUUCACAUGAGAUGUGUGGCCCAUAUCUUGAAUCUUGUGGUUCAAGAUGGAUUGAAGACAAUGGCUCCUUCUAUUUCCCAUAUUCGUAGUAUUGUCAAGUAUGUUAAAAGCUCCACCGCACGGAUGAAUACCUUCAAAAAAUGUGUGGAAAUUAGCAGGGUAAAAAGAAAAGGUUUGGUUUCUCUUGACGUGUCCACUCGAUGGAAUUCAACAUAUAAUAUGUUAGAAACAGUUGUUGAUUUUGAAAAGGCAUUUGAAAGGCUUUUAAUCGAUGAUCCCUCCUACAAUGCAGAGUUGGGUGUGAAUGGGGUUCCAAAACCUAAGGAUUGGGAGUUUGCAAAAGAAUUCAAGAAGUUUAUUAAACAUUUUUCUGAUCUUACAAAAAAUGUUUCUAGAUCUCAAUAUGUUACAACACUUGCUUUGAAGAUAUUGCUGGUGUUAAUUAUUUGUUGUUCGAUUGGAGUCAACGUGAUGAUGAUGAUGAUAAUACCUUCAGAAAUAUGGUUGCUGAAAUGAAAAACAAAUAUGAUAAGUAAUUGGGGGAGCCUGAGAAGAUGAAUGCCUUAAUGUUUAUUGCAGCUAUGCUUGAUCCUAGGUAUGGCUGCUGAAAUUAUUUUUGUGUAUUUUCUAAAGAUGUUGUUUGCUAAUUGGCUUGAUCACUCACUAAUCUUGCUCUUUUGUAAUGUUUAUGCAAGGACCAAAUAAUCUCAUUAUUUGCACACUAUCAUUCACUCGACAUAUGGCCAAUUUAAAGGUGAUAUGAUUUGGGUCUCAGCACAAAAGGCAUUCUCAGAUUUUUUUUUUUAGUGAAUACAAGAAUUUGUACUCUCCAGUUGGAAGCCAAGGUAGUAGUCAAGCAACAUUACAAUCACAAAACAGUGGUGGUGGUACUGCACAAUCAGAUUCGGGAAAUCUUAUGAGAUCUAUAUACAACAAGAAGAUGAAGGUUUGUAUAGGAGGAGGUGGCCUACCUGUUGGUGGUAAAACUGUAUUGGAGAAGUAUCUAGCUGAAGAUAUAGAAGAUGAUUUUGCUAAAUUUAACAUUUUUACUUGGUGGAAAGACAAUGCAGCUCGUUUUCCUAUCCUUUCAAGAAUGGCUACUAAUAUAUUAGCAAGCCCCAUCUCAACCGUUGCUUCUGAAUCAGCUUUUAGUACAAGUGGUCGUCUUCUUGAUGAUUUUAGAAGCUCCUUAACUCCAAAAACACUUGAAUGCUUGGUAUGUGCGCAGGAUUGGUUGCGUGGUUCCAAGCACAUAGACAUUGAAGCCACUCUAGCAAAUCUACAGAAGCUGUUUAAUUUUGAAGGAGCUUAUAGGCCUGGAUGACAAUGGGGCUCAUAUUGUAACAACAAGUGUCUUCUCUUUGGGUCCAUCUUUCAACAUUGAAGAAUGAGGACAUGUUGUUCACUUGUUCUACUAAUAUAUAUCAAAAUUAGACUUGUACUGUAUGGCUGCACUUGUACUAUAUGGCCUUUUAAUUAGACAUUAGUAACUCGUAUGGUCUUUUAGAACUAUGAAUUGAUCGGAUAUUUGGACUGUUGAACUUGAACUAUUGGACAAUCCCUAUGUUUUUGUUUAUCAGC